rnacentral:rRNA from 1 species
AUACGUAGGGGGCGAGCGUUGUCCGGAUUUAUUGGGCGUAAAGGGUGCGUAGGCGGCCUUGUAAGUCAGAUGUGAAAUCUCACGGCUUAACCGUGGUAAGCAUUUGAAACUGUGAGGCUUGAGUACAGGAGAGGAGAGUGGAAUUCCUAGUGUAGCGGUGAAAUGCGUAGAUAUUAGGAGGUAUACCAGUGGCGAAGGCGACUCUCUGGACUGUAACUGACGCUGAGGCACGAAAGCGUGGGGAGCAAACAGGAUUAGAUACCCUGGUAGUCCACGCCGUAAACGAUGAGUGCUAGGUGUCGGGGGUCAAACCUCGGUGCCGCAGUUAACACAUUAAGCACUCCGCCUGGGGAGUACGGUGGCAACACUGAAACUCAAAGGAAUUGACGGGG